rnacentral:rRNA from 1 species
ACUGUUCAGUAACACGUGGACAACCUACCCUUGGGUUCGGCAUAAUCCUGGGAAACUGGGGAUAAUACCGGAUAGGCCACAGAUGCUGGAAUGCACUGUGGCUCAAAGCUCCGGCGCCCAAGGAUGGGUCUGCGGCCUAUCAGGGUUGUAGUGGGUGUAAUGUACCUACUAGCCUACGACGGGUACGGGUUGUGAGAGCAAGAGCCCGGAGAUGGAUUCUGAGACACGAAUCCAGGCCCUACGGGGUGCAGCAGGCGCGAAAACUUUACAAUGCGGGAAACCGUGAUAAGGGAAUCUCGAGUGCCAGCAUAUAAUGUUGGCUGUCCAGAUGCCUAAAAAGCAUCUGUUAGCAAGGGCCGGGCAAGACCGGUGCCAGCCGCCGCGGUAACACCGGCGGCCCGAGUGGUAACCGCUAUUAUUGGGUCUAAAGGGUCUGUAGCCGGCCAGGUAAGUCCCUUGGGAAAUCUGGCAGCUCAACUGUCAGGCUGCUAGGGGAUACUGUUUGGCUUGGGACCGGGAGAGGUGAGAGGUACCUUGGGGGUAGGGGUGAAAUCUUGUGAUCCUCGGGGGACCACCAGUGGCGAAGGCGUCUCACCAGAACGGGUCCGACGGUAAGGGACGAAAGCUAGGGGCACGAACCGGAUUAGAUACCCGGGUAGUCCUAGCCGUAAACGAUGCUCGCUAGGUGUCAGUCACGGUGCGACCGUGAUUGGUGCCGUAGGGAAGCCGUGAAGCGAGCCACCUGGGAAGUAUGGCCGCAAGGCUGAAACUUAAAGGAAUUGGCGGGGGAGCAC